AGAUUGAACGCUGGCGGCAUGCCUAGCACAUGCAAGUCGAACGGGAGUAGCAAUACUCUAGUGGCGGACGGGUGAGGAAUACGUAGGAAUUUGCCCUUAAGUGGGGGAUAACCCGGGGAAACCCGGAUUAAUACCGCAUGACCUCGAAAGAGCAAAGUGGGGGAUCGCAAGACCUCACGCUUUUGGAGAAGCCUACGUCGGAUUAGCUAGUUGGUGAGGUAAUGGCUCACCAAGGCGACGAUCCGUAACUGGUCUGAGAGGAUGAUCAGUCACACCGGAACUGAGACACGGUCCGGACUCCUACGGGAGGCAGCAGUGGGAAUAUUGGACAAUGGGCGCAAGCCUGAUCCAGCAAUGCCGCGUGUGUGAAGAAGGCUCGGGUUGUAAGCACUUAAGUUAGGAAGAAAAACGUACGACGUACUAACACAGUGAGUCUUGACGGUACCGACAGAAAUAACGCACCGACUAAC
rnacentral:rRNA from 1 species